ensembl:misc_RNA Metazoa_SRP Metazoan signal recognition particle RNA
GCUAGGUGCGGUGUUGUGCGCCUGUAGUCCCAGCUACUCGGGAGGCUGAGGCUGGAGGAUCACUUGAGUCCAAGAGUUCUGGGCUGUAGUGCGCUAUGCCGAUCGGGUGUCCACACUAAGUUCAGCAUCAAUAUGGUGACCUCCCGGGAGCGGGAGGACCACCAGGUUGCCUAAGGAGGGGUGAACUGGCCCAGGUCCGAAAUGGAGCAGGUCAGAACUCAGGGCUGAUCAGUAGUGGGAUCAUGCCUGUGAAUAGCCACUGCACUCCAGCCUGGGUAACAUAGCAAGACCUUGUCUCUU